GACGAACGCUGGCGGCGUGCUUAACACAUGCAAGUCGAGCGGUAAGGCCCCUUCGGGGGUACACGAGCGGCGAACGGGUGAGUAACACGUGAGUAACCUGCCCCUGACUCUGGGAUAAGCCUGGGAAACUGGGUCUAAUACCGGAUAUGACCUCGUGCCGCAUGGUGUGGGGUGGAAAGGUGUUUUUCCGGUCAGGGAUGGGCUCGCGGCCUAUCAGCUUGUUGGUGGGGUAACGGCCUACCAAGGCGAUGACGGGUAGCCGGCCUGAGAGGGCGACCGGCCACACUGGGACUGAGACACGGCCCAGACUCCUGCGGGAGGCAGCAGUGGGGAAUAUUGCGCAAUGGGCGGAAGCCUGACGCAACGACGCCGCGUGGGGGAUGAAAGCCUUCGGGUUGUAAACCUCUUUUACCACUCACGAAGGCCCCUGGUUUUCUGGGGGUUGACGGUAGGUGGUGAAUAAGGACCGGCUAACUACGUG
rnacentral:rRNA from 1 species